rnacentral:lncRNA from 1 species
UAUUAUUUUUGAAAUCAGCUAAAAAUUACACAUUUCUCUUCUUUUUUUUUAAAACUACAAUGGGAAAUUAUAUAACAAAAUAUUUUCACUAACACCACAAUCUGAUCUAAAAUCACAAAAUACUGAGAAGAUUAAAGAUUAAACAGCCAACCAUUGUAAAAAUAAUUUAAGGAUAAGAUGGAGGGAGACUUCACAUACAGCUUUAUAAGCAGAAAGAGAAGAAGUAGCAAUGUCACGGCGACGAAGAGAUCUGAGUAAUACGGCGGACGCCAUCGGAGAAAACAGUAAGGAACGACGAGCUUGCAGCUUCUGUUAAUGGAGGCUAGGGUUUAGGGUUUUAGAAAUUAUUCCAGUAGUGGCUUCGUGAAAGGGAAAAUAAAGGUGGCGUGGCGGUGUACAAUAAAACUACGACUGUGUGAGAAAGUUCUAGAGGUAUGCGAUGUCGCCUUCUAUACUCUUAUUUUUCUUUUUUCUGUUUCUUUUGCGUCCAUAAUUUUUUUUUUGAAUAUUUCCUUCUCUAAUAAUUGUCUAGUCAAUUAAUU